rnacentral:rRNA from 1 species
CAGCCGCCGCGGUAAUACGUAGGGUGCAAGCGUUAAUCGGAAUUACUGGGCGUAAAGCGUGCGCAGGCGGUUAUGUAAGACAGGCGUGAAAUCCCCGGGCUUAACCUGGGAAUUGCGCUUGUGACUGCAUAGCUAGAGUAUGUCAGAGGGGGGUAGAAUUCCUCGUGUAGCAGUGAAAUGCGUAGAGAUGUGGAGGAAUACCAAUGGCGAAGGCAGCCCCCUGGGAUAAUACUGACGCUCAUGCACGAAAGCGUGGGGAGCAAACAGGAUUAGAUACCCUGGUAGUCCACGCCCUAAACGAUGCUGACUAGUUGUUCGGGAAUUUAUUCCUGAGUAACGUAGCUAACGCGUGAAGUCAGCCGCCUGGGGAGUACGGUCGCAAGAUUAAAACUUAAAUGAAUUGACGG